rnacentral:rRNA from 1 species
CUCCUACGGGAGGCAGCAGUGAGGAAUAUUGGUCAAUGGGCGAGAGCCUGAACCAGCCAAGUAGCGUGAAGGAUGACUGCCCUAUGGGUUGUAAACUUCUUUUAUAAAGGAAUAAAGUCGGGUAUGGAUACCCGUUUGCAUGUACUUUAUGAAUAAGGAUCGGCUAACUCCGUGCCAGCAGCCGCGGUAAUACGGAGGAUCCGAGCGUUAUCCGGAUUUAUUGGGUUUAAAGGGAGCGUAGAUGGGUUGUUAAGUCAGUUGUGAAAGUUUGCGGCUCAACCGUAAAAUUGCAAUUGAUACUGGCAGUCUUGAGUACAGUUGAGGUAGGCGGAAUUCGUGGUGUAGCGGUGAAAUGCUUAGAUAUCACGAAGAACUCCGAUUGCGAAGGCAGCUUACUAACCUGUAACUGACAUUGAUGCUCGAAAGUGUGGGUAUCAAACAGGAUUAGAUACCCUGGUAGUCCACACGGUAAACGAUGAAUACUCGCUGUAGGCGAUAUACAGUCUGCGGCCAAGCGAAAGCAUUAAGUAUUCCACCUGGGGAGUACGCCGGCAACGGUGAAACUCAAAGGAAUUGACGGGGGCCCGCACAAGCGGAGGAACAUGUGGUUUAAUUCGAUGAUACGCGAGGAACCUUACCCGGGCUUGAAUUGCAGAGGAAGGAUUUGGAGACAAUGACGCCCUUCGGGGCCUCUGUGAAGGUGCUGCAUGGUUGUCGUCAGCUCGUGCCGUGAGGUGUCGGCUUAAGUGCCAUAACGAGCGCAACCCCUCUCCUUAGUUGCCAUCAGGUUAAGCUGGGCACUCUGGGGACACUGCCACCGUAAGGUGUGAGGAAGGUGGGGAUGACGUCAAAUCAGCACGGCCCUUACGUCCGGGGCUACACACGUGUUACAAUGGCAGGUACAGAGAGACGGUCCCUUGCAAAAUGGAUCAAAUCCUUAAAGCCUGUCUCAGUUCGGACUGGGGUCUGCAACCCGACCCCACGAAGCUGGAUUCGCUAGUAAUCGCGCAUCAGCCAUGGCGCGGUGAAUACGUUCCCGGGCCUUGUACACACCGC